rnacentral:misc_RNA from 1 species
GUAUUUGAAUUAAGUAUUCAUACAGGUUUUCAGACAAAGUUGUUAAAAAUAAGAGUUGAUGUUUACAUCCUGUAGCGCAAAUGACAAGCAUUCGCGUUACAAGACAACAUUGCACACAAGGUGGAUAUGGAUUUAAAAAGUGCCAUAAAACACUUAUUAUGAAUGAUCCUUCCGCAGGUUCACCUACGGAAA